UACAGAGGUCUCAAGCGUUGUUCGGAUUCAUUGGGCGUAAAGGGCUCGUAGGCGGCCAACUAAGUCGGACGUGAAAUCCCCAGGCUCAACCUGGGAACUGCGUCCGAUACUGGAUGGCUUGAAUUCGGGAGAGGGAUGCAGAAUUCCAGGUGUAGCGGUGAAAUGCGUAGAUAUCUGGAGGAAUACCGGUGGCGAAGGCGGCAUCCUGGACCGACAUUGACGCUGAGGAGCGAAAGCUAGGGGAGCAAACGGG
rnacentral:rRNA from 1 species